rnacentral:lncRNA from 1 species
UCCCCUGAGAGUAUGAUAGAUGAAGGCAGAAAGACAACGAAGUUCGAGUGUGGCCUCCGUUCUUAGAUCAAAAAGCAGUUGUAUGUAUUUGAGCUCAGCACCUACUCAGCUGUUCUGACCAAGACACAAUUAGUAGAGAGGAACAUUUGUAUCUUCCCUCAAGCAGUGGAAAAUCUCAGACCUCCGGUUUCACAUCACAAGCCAGUACCCAAUGCACUGGUUCAGCAGAACAAGAGGCAUAGACUAAUGACUCAGACUCCUCCU